GACGAACGCUGGCGGCGUGCUUAACACAUGCCAGUCGAACGGAAAGGCCCUGCUUUUGUGGGGUGCUCGAGUGGCGAACGGGUGAGUAACACGUGAGUAACCUGCCCUUGACUUUGGGAUAACUUCAGGAAACUGGGGCUAAUACCGGAUAGGAGCUCCUGCUGCAUGGUGAGGGUUGGAAAGUUUCGGCGGUUGGGGAUGGACUCGCGGCUUAUCAGCUUGUUGGUGGGGUAGUGGCUUACCAAGGCUUUGACGGGUAGCCGGCCUGAGAGGGUGACCGGCCACAUUGGGACUGAGAUACGGCCCAGACUCCUACGGGAGGCAGCAGCGGGGAAUAUUGCACAAUGGGCGGAAGCCUGAUGCAGCAACGCCGCGUGCGGGAUGACGGCCUUCGGGUUGUAAACCGCUUUCGCCUGUGACGAAGCGUGAGUGACGGUAAUGGGUAAAGAAGCACCGGCUAACUACGUG
rnacentral:rRNA from 1 species